GACGAACGCUGGCGGCGUGCUUAACACAUGCAAGUCGAACGGAAAGGCCCUGCUUUUGUGGGGUGCUCGAGUGGCGAACGGGUGAGUAACACGUGAGUAACCUGCCCUUGACUUUGGGAUAACUUCAGGAAACUGGGGCUAAUACCGGAUAGGAGCUCCUGCUGCAUGGUGGGGGUUGGAAAGUUUCGGCGGUCGGGGAUGGACUCGCGGCUCAUCAGCUUGUUGGUGGGGUAGUGGCUUACCAAGGCUUUGACGGGUAGCCGGCCUGAGAGGGUGACCGGCCACAUUGGGACUGAGAUACGGCCCAGACUCCUACGGGAGGCAGCAGUGGGGAAUAUUGCACAAUGGGCGGAAGCCUGAUGCAGCAACGCCGCGUGCGGGAUGACGGCCUUCGGGUUGUAAACCGCUUUCGCCUGUGACGAAGCGUGAGUGACGGUAAUGGGUAAAGAAGCACCGGCUAACUACGUG
rnacentral:rRNA from 1 species